CGAUGGGCCAAUGAGCCAAAUUUCGCAGUAGACCCGGAGGCCGGAGCGCAGCUGACAUCGGGAGAGAACCGGAGCCUUGUGCUGUCCCAGCUGGGGGCAUCCAUAGCGCUAGAUCCCGGUGCCUUUCCUAGAAGGAUUUUGCAUAUCUCAUGGCUGGCGGUACUGUCUUUCACCCCCUUUUGUAGGAGAAGAGAACAAUCAAGCUUGGCUGCAGUGUGCCACAGCGCGGCACAGUGGUCUACCCAAAAGAAGAAUUUGUACUGCCACUGAGCUCAGCUGCAUAUAUGCUAUGCUUUGGUGCUCCCUCCACCAAAUUGAUAAUUUUCAUUUUCUUUUCCCCCACUCCAGAAAGCAGCAGCACUCACUGUCACGAUCGCCGUCGCUGUCAGGUGGGCCCCACCGCAUCACCGAAAAGAGGAAGAGCAGAUAUCAUCAUCGCCCAUAUAUAAACCUCUCCACCUGCCUUCCUGGCCAAUUAUUUUCUUCCAGGCUCGGCUCCAGCGACCGACGCCCCCCCAAUGUUUCCACUAUUACCAAUCCGGCUCUCAGAAGUCUACUCUUCGUCCAGUGCGCGCGGAAAAGUAAUAAUAGCAACCAGGUCCCUCCAGUGAUUACCACCUGUCUCUGACCCGCUCGGCUCCCCUAAUCCCAAUCCCAGUCCCAGCCCUCCACGCGUGCGUGCGCCGGCGAUGCCGACGCCGGUGGCCGCGGCGCGGCAGUGCCUCUCGCCGACCGCCGUCACCGCCCUCGACGCGGCCGUCGUCUCCGCGCGCCGCCGCGCCCACGCGCAGACAACCUCGCUCCACCUCAUCUCCGCCCUGCUCGCCCCUCCCGCCCCGCCGCUCCUCCGCGACGCGCUCGCGCGGGCACGCAGCGCCGCCUAUGCCCCGCGCGUCCAGCUCAAGGCGCUCGAGCUCUGCUUCGCCGUCUCGCUCGACAGGCUCCCCUCCGCCUCCUCCUCCUCCUCUGCCUCCGGCGCCGACAACGCGGAGCCGCCCGUCUCCAACUCGCUCAUGGCGGCCGUCAAGCGCUCGCAGGCCAACCAGCGCCGCAACCCGGACACCUUCCAUUUCUACCACCAGGCGGCCACCGCGCAGGCCCCCGCCGCCGUCAAGGUCGAGCUCUCGCAGCUCGUGCUCGCCAUCCUCGACGACCCCCUCGUCAGCCGCGUCUUCAGCGACGCGGGCUUCCACAGCGGCGACAUCAAGCUCGCCAUCCUCCGCCCUGCGCCGCCCAUGCCCAUGCUCGGCCGCCUCCCCACGCGGAGCCGCCCGCCGCCUCUCUUCCUCUGUAGCUUCGCCGCCGCCGACGACGCCGACGUGCCUUCGCCAGCCGCAGGGAGCCUCGCCGGCGGCACCGGCGAGGAGAACUUCCGCCGCAUCGGCGAGGUUCUCGCCCGAGGCCGCAACCCCAUGCUCGUCGGCGUCGGGGCUGCGUCCGCCGCUGCCGACUUCGCCGCCCUCUCGCCGUACCGUGUCCUCCCCGUCGGUACAAGCUCCAUCGACCAGACGGAGCUCGGCUUGGCGGCCGCCAUGGCCAGCGCCACCUCCGGUCUCAUCAUAAGCAUCGGUGACCUCAAAGAACUGGUCCCCGACGACGGCGAGCUCCAAGAGAUGGGGCGCCGGGUGGUGGCGGAGGUGACGCGAGUGCUGGAGACGCACAGAGCUGGCCGUGUCUGGGUGAUGGGGUGGUCGGCCACGUACGAGACCUACCUCACCUUCUUGUCCAAGUUCCCCUUGCUCGACAAGGAUUGGGAGCUCCAGCUGCUGCCGAUCACGGCAGUGCGCGCCGGAGGCAGCCCCGCUGCGCUCAUCCCUCAGGCAACCACCGCCGCGGCUUUCUCCAAGCCUGCAAGCUUUAUGGAUUCGCUCAUUCCUUUUGGAGGACUUGUCAGCGAUACCUACGAAGCUAACAGCCUCACAGCAAAUUCUUGUCCUCCGGCCCUUCGGUGUCAACAGUGCAAUGAUAGAUAUGAGCAAGAAGUUGCUACUAUCAUUAGAGGAAGUGGCAUUACAGCUGAAGACCAUCACCAAGGAGGUCUACCUUCGCUGCUGCAGAAUGGCAGCAUGAUAGGUGCUAACAAUGGAUUUGAUGCAGUCAAGUGCAGGUUAGAGAUCAGAUGGUAUUGAAUUCAAAAAUAUCGAAUCUACAGAAGAAGUGGAACGAGUACUGCCUGCGGCUCCACCAAGGCUGCCAUAGGAUCAACAGUGUUCCAUACCAGUUAUUUCCGCAUUAUAUUGGUGUUCCAGCCAAUGGGGAAAGAGCAGAAAAUCUGAGCAAAGGUUCUGAAUCAGUUGAACUUCAAAGGGAGGUUAUUAGACCUUCUGUAGUGUCUGUUCCACAUACCAAUGCUACCACAAAGAGUAUUUCACCCCCAUCUAUCUCUAACUUAAGGAAUGACAACCUUACAUUGGAACUUCAAGCUGGGUUUUCAAAGAGUGAUGAAAAGCAGUCCCGACAUGAAACCCUGUCAUACUGUCAUGAUCGCGAAGAUCACGUGUCACCAUCAUCCGCUGCAUCUGUGGCGACUGACUUGGUUUUAGGCACGCCUCAUGAAUCUUCUUCCAAGGGUACAAAUUCUGCCAGCUGCAAACAUGUAGCUGAUGCAGAGAUAUCUGUACCCAAGAAAGUUGAUGAUUUGAAUCUGAAACCUCCUCAGAUCUUUGCACAACCCUUUGCUUGUUCCAAGAGUUCCACAAAUAUGGGGCAAACAUCACCUAGUGCUGGGCAUUCAGCAGCUUCUGGAGGUUUGUCUGCUUUUGGUCAUUGGCAGAAACCUUCACACCUCGGAGCACAAGGUUCUGAUUUGAGUAAUUACAAGCUACUUGUGGAACGCCUGUUCCAGGUUGUUGGAAGGCAGGAGGAAGCCUUGAGUGCUAUUUGUGGUUCCAUUGUGCGGUGCAAGUCAAUGGAGAGGCGCCAUGGUCCAAACAAGAAGAAUGACAUGUGGUUUAGCUUUCAUGGUUCUGAUUGCAUGGCCAAACGCAGAGUUGCUUUGGCGCUUGCAGAGCUCGUACAUGGCAGCAAAGAGAACAUGAUUUAUCUGGACCUGAGUCUCAAGGAUUGGGCCGACUCAAGCUACAGAGGAAAGACUGGCACUGACUAUAUUGUUGACGAGCUGAGCAAGAAACGGCGAUCUGUCAUCUUCCUUGAUAAUGUCGAUAAAGCUGACUGCCUUCUCCAGGACACCCUGACUCAUGCCAGUAAGACUGGUAGAUUCCGAGACUUGCGUGGCAAGGAAGUUGACAUUAAUGACUCCAUUGUUGUGCUGUCAACAAGAACAACCAGAGGCUCCAAAAGUGUGUCUGUUGGAGUGGAAGAGGGUCUUACUUUCACUGAAGAUAAGAUCCUGGCAGCUAGUGGGCAUCAACUGAAGAUCCUGGUAGAAUCAUGUACCGCGAUCAUGAGUGAAGGCCACGGUGAUAAGGUGAUAUUUUCCCCCGGGCAUCCUCUCGCCAAAAUUCGUGCAUCUUUGUACUGUGGGGGUUCAGUCAGCAAGAGAAAGUUCAACAUUUCUGAUGACCAAGAAAAGCUGCAGGGGGAAUCACCGAGCAUUUCCAAGCGACUGCACAGAACAUCAAGUGUUCCGUUCGACCUGAACCUCCCCAUCGACGAGGAUGGUUCGAGCGACGCUGAUGACCACAGCGGCAGCAAUGACAACUCAUAUGGCACUCCAGAGAGAUCCAUGGACAGCCUCUUGUGUUUGGUUGACGAGUCCAUCGAUUUCAAGCCAUUCGACUUUGACAAAGUCGCCGACUACGUGCUGCAGGAGUUGAGCAAUACACUCCGCAAAGUUCUGGGCUCCGGCUGCACACUGGAAAUUGAUGUCGGUGCAAUGGAGCAGAUAGUUGCAGCGGCAUGGGCAUCAGAGGGCAAGAGGCCUCUCCAGGCCUGGCUGGAUCAGGUGUUCGCUGGAAGCCUAGGGGAACUGAAGGUCAAGUGUGGUAAGCAUGCCAGCAGUUCCACUCUUAUACUAGUGGCCUGUGAGGACAUGGCAGCAGUCAGGGAGGACAAUGGUUUUGGAGGUUUGCUCCCCUCCAGAAUAAUUCUAGAAUGGUGAAAUGAUGGUAUCUGUAUAGGGAUAAUUGUAAUUAUUUCUAGCUAUUAGUCCACAAUAGUAUAGCAUUAUUUUGCCGGGAAAUAAUUUGUAGCCUAGUUGAUGAUGCAUUGCCUUCAUGUAUAUCGGCAAGUAUAUAUCGAUUGUAACACUUGUGGAUUUGCCAAUAUAUCACUGUUAUAUAUGGUGAUGCAGCGGUAGAGUGCUGAAGUCCAUAAUCGGUGGGUAAUUCCAGGUUUGGCCAAUUUCUCCUGCUAAUUUGUAGGUUCAUAUUGAAAUAUGUAAAUGCUAGUGGCUUACAUUCUAAUUAGUAUCUAAGAGUUUGGCCAACUUGUUUUGC
rnacentral:rRNA from 1 species